CCUACGUGUGGCAGCAGUGGGGAAUAUUGCACAAUGGGCGAAAGCCUGAUGCAGCAACGCCGCGUGAGCGAUGAAGGCCUUCGGGUCGUAAAGCUCUGUCCUCAAGGAAGCUAAUGAGGGUACUUGGGGAGGAAGCACCGGAUCACUACUUGACAGCAGCCGCGGUAAUACGUCGGGGGCUAGCGUUAUCCGGAAUUAUUGGGCGUAAAGGGUGCGUAGGUUGUGUCUUAAGUCAGAGGUGAAAAGCUACGGCUCAACCGUAGUAAGCCUUUGAAACUGGGAAACUUGAGUGCAGGAGAGGAGAGUGGAAUUCCUGGUGUAGCGGUGAAAUGCGUAGAUAUUAGGCGGAACACCAGUUGCGAAGGCGGCUCUCUGGACUGUAACUGACACUGAGGCACGAAAGCGUGGGGAGCAAACAGGAUUAGAUACCCGGGUAGUC
rnacentral:rRNA from 1 species